UGUGUGGAGGGAAGGGUUAGGUGUGUGUCUUGUAGGGAGGGAAGGGUUAGGUGUGUGUCUUGUAUGGAGGGAAAGAUUAGGUGUGUGUCUUGUAGGGAGGGAAGGGUUAGGUGUGUGUCUUGUAGGGAGGGAAGGGUUAGGUGU